CAUGGCCUUCUUUUAGAUCAAAAAUUGACGUUGAAAGUUGGUUUUUGCUUGUUUCGUCGGAUUUGGUCCAAAUUUUGCCCUAAACUCAGCAAUGGUCUUUGUUUUGUCUUUAUGAUUUGGUUCCAAUAUAGCCCCAAAAUCUAUGUUUAAUAUUAGGUUUUGUUUGGUCCAUCUGAUUUGGUCCAAAUUUAGGCCAAAAUAAAUGUUGAAAUAACAGUGAAAUUCUGCGUGACUUCUACGUGCUGUAAUGGGCGCGCGCGCUGAACUGGAGCGGAGGACGUCACCAUGGAAACGAGGCGGCAGCCCAACCGUCAAGCAGCUGAACGCUGACUCUCAAUGUGGUUUUCACUAUUGUUUUUUAGAAAUGGUUUAGUGUCGUCAGAAAAAGUCCGUUAGCAUCUCCACUGUAAGGCUAACUACAAGAGGUUCUUCCAUGCUGAUGGCUGUGCUCUAGAGUCAUAUCUCCUGUCGAAGAACAUCUUUUAGACAUUAUGAACCAUGAAAAAGUUUAGCUCCAACCCCAGUUAAGCAGCUGAUCAAGGAUCACCAGAAAAACUCUGCAGAAC